GUUCGGCGCCCCCACCUCUGCAGGCGCCUGGGUGCAAUGCACCCUGCCUAGGAUCGGCCCUGUAGUUGGGGACAGAGAACCCGCUUGUGAGGGAGAGUUAGGAGGAGGUAGGGAGAGUGUUCUGGCCUGUGAGGGAUAGCUCAGGGUUCCUAUGGAGUUCUGUAUCAGCAAUCCUGGUUGGAUGUUGCAGAUAUAUCCCUCUGCUGAAGGAAUACCGUUGUUACCGGGUGUUUUAAAGCACCUAUUACAUGCCUAAAGCUGUUUAGGCAACAACGUUGUAUAUAUCAUACUUUACCACUAACGGUCUGUUCCACUAACCUGUGCGGAGACCUGUUUAACCUGGGUUAUCUAAUGCAUUCCACUGGGUAUUCUCUUCAUCCUUUAAAGAUCUGCUCCUGUUGGGUGGCUCUUGCCCUACUUUCAGGGUUCUUUGGGAAGACGGGUCACCUUGUUGCACCGCACCGGCAAUGAUGACUGGCAGUUUUUAAUAAUGUUUAUUUUCUUUUCAUAUGAUUAUGUGUUCUAUGUAUAAAAUUGUUUAACUAAUUGACAUCCUUUGAUGUUUUUUGUUCGUGUUAUGUAUGUUCACUACUAGACUUCUAUGCUCCUGAUGAAGCGUCCUGUACGCGAAACAUGUCGAGAGUAAAAGCAAGACUCACCAUUCCGCAUACCAAACUCAGUUUCAAGGACUAAAAGUUUAUAUACACCCUUCUGUGCUAUAUGAUCUCAUGUUAUGAGUAUAUUCGCAUAAGUUUAAGCUUUUUUGUAAUACCCUUUAUAAUAUGUACUGAGUUAGUAUGCCGAUGUCGUAUUGUUCUCACAAAGUUAUGUAUAAUCUCUUUUAUAUACUUUCUUUUAUGAAUAAAUAUUUAUAGAUUUUUUACAAUUA